rnacentral:rRNA from 1 species
UAGAGUUUGAUCCUGGCUCAGAAUGAACGCUGGCGGCGUGCUUAACACAUGCAAGUCGUACGAGAACUCCUUAGCUUGCUAAGGAUAGUAAAGUGGCGCACGGGUGAGUAACGCGUGGGUAAUCUACCCUAAAGUUUGGAAUAACAUUGCGAAAGUGAUGCUAAUACCGGAUAAUAUUUGAUUUGCUUUGGCUUUUCAGAUCAAAGGUGGCCUCUAUUUAUAAGCUACUGUUUUAGGAUGAGCCCGCGUACCAUUAGCUUGUUGGUAGGGUAAUGGCCUACCAAGGCUACGAUGGUUAGCUGGUCUGAGAGGAUGAUCAGCCACACUGGAACUGACACACGGUCCAGACUCCUACGGGAGGCAGCAGUGAGGAAUUUUGCGCAAUGGGGGAAACCCUGACGCAGCAACGCCGCGUGAGUGAUGAAGGCUUUCGGGUCGUAAAGCUCUGUCAAGUGGGAAGAAAUAAGAAAAUUAUAAUAUAAUUUUUUUUUGACGGUACCACUAAAGGAAGCACCGGCUAACUCCGUGCCAGCAGCCGCGGUAAUACGGGGGGUGCAAGCGUUAUUCGGAAUUAUUGGGCGUAAAGGGCGCGCAGGCGGUUACUUAAGUCAGAUGUGAAAGCCCGGGGCUUAACCUCGGAAGUGCAUUUGAAACUAAGUAACUUGAGUAUGGGAGAGGGAAGUGGAA